UACGAAGGGUGCAAGCGUUACUCGGAAUUACUGGGCGUAAAGCGUGCGCAGGCGGUUCGCUAAGACAGAUGUGAAAUCCCCGGGCUUAACCUCGGGAACUGCAUUUGUGACUGGCGGGCUAGAGUAUGGCAGAGGGGGUAGGAAUUCCACGGUGUAGCAGUGAAAUGCGUAGAGAUGUGGAGGAAUACCGAUGGCGAAGGCAGCCCCCUGGGCCAAUACU
rnacentral:rRNA from 1 species